UGAUUAACUUGUUUGCUCAUUCAUUCAUUCUUGCAGUAAAGAUUAUCGAGCCCUAACUCUGUGCCAAGCAUCAUGCAUGGCAGUGGAGAUUACACUCACAAAGGGGUUCUGCCCCCCUGGAGCAUACAGUAAGACAUUAAACAACUAAGUCUGCUGUAAAGUAUUUAUUUAUAAAACUGUGACAAAUUCCAGGAGGAAGCCAUGCAGGGUACCAUGGUUGGGGAGGCAGGGAAGCUUUCUUGAGGAAGGUGAUAUAUGCAGCUAGUAACCAGCCUGAGGUUAGUGGGAGUGUCCCAGAUGGAGGGAGGGACCAUUCCAUGCAAAGGGCUUGAUUAGAAAUGAGCAUAGCAAGUUUCAAGAAUGGAAAUGGCUCCACGUUGCUCUUAUAAUUAAAUCAGAACUCCUAAGCAAGGCUGACAAGGCCGUCCACGACCCAAGCCCUCCCUCCCCUCCGAAUGUCAUCUCCCCCGACUCGUCCUUCCCCCCGCUCAUCUUCCUCUCACCACUCUGGCCUUGUAUCUGUUCACCGCUUGUUCCCACCUCUGGGCCUUUGCAUUUUCUGUUCCCUCUGCUUAGAAUGCCAUUCCCUCAGCUCCAUCCAUGACCUGUUCUUUCUCACCUUUCAGGUCCUAACUCGGGUGCCACCUCCUGGAAGAGCCUUCCCAGAACAUCUUAACCUAAAGUGGUCUUUUCUGGGCCUUGCAUGACCCCGUUAUGUCAAAACCCUGCUUGCUUUCUUUGGCGAGUUUAUCAUGAUCUGUCACUACCUUCUGUGUUUUAAAGGGCCAGGAGCUGACGCCCAGCAGGAGACAGGGCUCACGGUGGUGGUGAUCAUACGUACUCAAGGCUGUGUGACCUGGAGCAAGUGGCCUGGCUUCUCCAAACUGGAUGUCCUCAUCUCUAUGAAGUGGAGGCAAUUUAUGUUAAAAACGCCACUCAGUGGAAUUGGAGAGAUUAAAGGAGAGCAUGGUUGGAGGAACUCUGCAAUUGAGUGAGUGCUCUAAAUUCACUGGAUGGUAUUCUUGUUAAUGAUAAUAUAACAAUGAUAAGAAAGGUUAAGGGCCACUAACCAACCCUUGAGCAGGGCUAAGCCCUGGGAGAGGGUUGCCAGCGUCAGGCAGCUCUGGUAAGGGCCACAGUGACUACUAACUGGUUAUUAGGACCUCGUUGGUAGCCAGAACCUGAAGGUUGGUCGUUCAAUAAAAACUUGGCCCCGAGAGGGCUGUCCUAGAAGGUCUCGACCGGGACCUGCUAGGUUUAGAACUGUCCCUGCAGCCAACAGGUUGUAAGCCCUUA